AUUAUGCAGUCAUCUACUGAGCUAUUCCCCCCUCUUAUUAUCUUUCCUCUCUCUAUUUGUCUCUACUUAUCUUCCUUAACCUUCCACUCCCCCAGGUGCUGUUACUCCAAUUAUCAUCCCCCUCCCCAAAGUAAGAUAAAUAGUCUUUUUAAGUAUCAGAUAUCAUCAAACAUCCCAUGUCACACAGUUCAAAAUCCCCAUCUAGCCUCACAGAAUAUCUCUCUUCACCCAUAGAAGUAUUUACCAGUGGAACUGCCACCUGCUACAAGACAUGAUUCUAAGAAGUGGUCCCUGGAUUUCACCAGACUGCCCGAGGGCUCAUGACACACAAAAGGGGUUUUAAGGGAUUCUUCUGAAAAGUAGAACAAAAUAAUCGCUCAUCCAGGUGCCAGGAAUAAGGGCACAAACAGGGAAAGAGGAGAGCCUUCUUUCUGUUAUACAGUGCUGCCUUUCCAAGUCAUAUUCAUAGGAAGAACAAAUGGCAAAUCACAUCUUUGCCAAGAAAAGCCCAUGGGCAGCCUUGGGUGCUUUGGUCCAGGGGCUCGUGCAGAGUCGGACACAUGUGCACAAAGCAAUCUCUCCAGAGGAGAUGGAGUAGAUGAGAUCCUCCUGGAGCCUCCAUUUGCGGAAGAACCUUUCUUUCCCGGCCCUAUUCUGGACUUCUGGAAGGGAAAUAAUGCGCCUGACUUUAUGGAAUCAUUGUUUCUCAGAGCUGAAAAAGGCCUCAGAAUAUAGACUGUUACAUCUGGGAGGAACCUUAGAACACAAAAUGUCACAACUAGAAAAGAACUUAGAACUCAAAAUGUUACAACUGGACAAGAAUUUGGAACACAAAAUGUCACAACUGGAAGAGAACUUAGAACACAAAAUGUCACAACUGGAAAAGACCUUAGAACACAAAAUGUCACAACUGGACAAGAACUUAGAACACAAAACGGCACAACUGGAAGAGAACUUAGAACACAAAACGGCACAACUGGAAGAGAAGUGAGAAGAAGGAAUGUCACAACUGAAAAAGAACUUAGAACACAAAAUGUCACAACUGGACAAGAACUUAGAACACAAAAUGUCACAACUAGAAGAGAACUUAGAACACAAAAUGUCACAACUAGAAGAGAACUUAGAACACAAAAUGUCACAACUGGAAAAGACCUUAGAAUACAAAAUGUCACAAAUGGACAAGAACUUAGAACAUAAAAUGUCACAACUGGAAGAGAACUUAGAACACAAAAUGUCACAACUGGAAGAGAAGUGAGAAGAAGGAAUGUCACAACUGAAAAAGAUCUUAGCACAUAGGAUCUCGAAGCUGGAAGAGACUUUAGAGCACAAAAGCCACAGCUGGGAGAGACCUUAAAACAGAGAAGAUCAGAGACCUUAGAACAUUGAAUGUCACAGCUGGGAAAGACCUGAGAACACAGAGCAGAAAGGAAUCUUAGAACCCAGAAUGUCACUGAUGAAAGAGACCUUAAUCAUAGCUGGAAAAAAUCUGCGAACAUAGACCCUCAGCCCUGAGGGGAACCUUAGAACAUAAAUUGUCAGAAAUGGAAA